GCGGACGUGGCGGAACUGGCAGACGCGCUGGACUUAGGAUCCAGUGCCGCAAGGCAUGGAGGUUCGAACCCUCUCGUCCGCA
rnacentral:tRNA from 1 species